AGGAUGAAUGCUGGCGGCGUGCCUAAUACAUGCAAGUCGAGCGGUAAGGCCCUUCGGGGUACACGAGCGGCGGACGGCUGAGUAACGCGUGGGAACAUGCCCCAAAGUGAGGGAUAAGCAUCGGAAACGGUGUCUAAUACCGCAUAUGGUCUUCGGAUUAAAGGAUUUAUCCGCUUUGGGAGUGGCCCGCGUACGAUUAGGUUGUUGGUGAGGUAAUGGCUCACCAAGCCUACGAUCGUUAACUGGUCUGAGAGGAUGAUCAGUCAGACUGGAACUGAGACACGGUCCAGACUCCUACGGGAGGCAGCAGUAAGGAAUCUUCCACAAUGGGCGAAAGCCUGAUGGAGCAACGCCGCGUGCAGGAUGAAGGCCUUCGGGUCGUAAACUGCUUUUAUGAGUGAAGAAUAUGACGGUAACUCAUGAAUAAGCACCGGCUAACUACGUGCCAGCAGCCGC
rnacentral:rRNA from 1 species